UCAAUGGAGAGUUUGAUCCUGGCUCAGGACGAACGCUGGCGGCGUGCCUAAUACAUGCAAGUCGAGCGGGGCU
rnacentral:ncRNA from 1 species